rnacentral:rRNA from 1 species
UACGGGGGGUGCGAGCGUUGUCCGGAAUCACUGGGCGUAAAGGGCGCGUAGGUGGCUUGGUAAGCGUGUGGUGAAAGCCCGGGGCUCAACCCCGGGUCUGCCAUGCGAACUGCUAUGGCUUGAGCACUGUAGAGGCAGGUAGAAUUCCGGGUGUAGCGGUGGAAUGCGUAGAGAUCGGGAAGAACAUCAGUGGCGAAGGCGACUUCCUGGCCUGUUCUUGACGCUGAGGCGCGAAAGCUAGGGUAGCAAACGGG